CACGCGAUGACUACGCCGCACAAAUCCCCACCGCCUCCUCCGCCCCCUCGCUCCUCCCCGCCGCGACAACUUCGCCCCCAAAAUCGCCCCCGCCUCCUCGCUCCUCCUCGCCGCUGCCUCCUCGCUCCUCCUCGCCGCCCGGCGAAUCCCCGCGCCUCCUCGCUUCUCCUCCACACCCACGAAUCCCCGCCGUCUCCUCGCUCCGUGCGCAUCCUCCCUCCUCCUCGCGACGGGGCAACGAGGUCGUCCCCUUCCGCUGCCACCCCCGCUGCCCACGCCGGAGAUUAGGUCAUCCCCAGCCACCGCCGGAGCCGUGGUCUUCCCCGGAGCCGACGUCGUCCCCAGUUGCCGCUGGAGCCGAGUUCUUCCCCAUCCGUGGUGGCCGCCGAAGUCCACCGCUGCCCCCGACGAAGUCGAGGUCUUCCCCAACCGCGGCCUGCCCCCGCCAGCGCUUGAAUACACUCAACCGAUCCAACAUCCUCCACUUGCGCCGGCGAGAGCCUUCCUCCACUCCAGCGCCUCACCGUACACUCCACCGCAGCUCGGUCAUCCUUAGUCGCACACCGAUACACGAAGGCGAGGUCGGAGCCCCUGGUGCCGCCACGAGCGAGAGGCAAUUCGCCGUUGCGGCCGCGCUCGUCGUGCAAAUACCGGAACGCAAGUGGUCCCUUUCCUGCCGCCGCAAGCGAGCAGUUGCGUCGCUACAUGCACCCCCAAGGUCUUCCUCCACCGAUCUGUCCUGUUCUGCUUGGCGCAUAUGUUCUGCAUGAAUACAAUACGCAGAACAAACUCAUGAUUGGUUCCUCGGCCUUGCUAGGAACAUGCAAAUGCUGAUGUGAUGUUUUGGUUGCUCAGAUCCAUCAGUGGGAUUUCAUCAACGACAAACAUUGAUAGUGGUUCUGACAAAUAUUCAUGUAUAGUGGUUCGAUCUACAUCAGCUCGGCCCGGUAAUGCAGGAAGCUUUACGUCACCAUUGCUUGCAGUGACAAGUAAAUAAUACACAUCAUGUUCGCUUCUUUUGCAAAGCUGUUAUGCCGCUGCCAGUUAAUUGCUAAUUGUAUAUCUCUGAAAUUAAUUUAUACAGAUCGAUGGGAAUACCACUAAUUUAAGUGCUCUCGAGUUAAAGAAGAUAGCAAGCUUGGAUGAGGUAUGCUUUGCUCAAUUGUAAGCAGUAGCAAGCUAAGGUUCAACAGAACCAUGAGUACAAGCAGCGGAAGGAUGCAUCAAUCUACAAUUGCCAUAGGAAGAUGCCUGAUGCUAAUGUCUUCUCAAGCUUUUGGAUUGUAAGGUGCUUUUCAUGUUUUUAAUCCAGUGCUACUAUCCAUGUUUUAAAUCCUUUUCAUCACCAUUAUGGAUAUAUUAUUUAUUUGUAGCUUCACGAAAAAAGUGUGGACUCCAGGAUUAAAUUAAAUCUUAAAAAGAUAUACGCUAUUCCAAUUUCAGAUUAUGCCUUUUUCAUGAUUUGAUAUGUUUCCCUUUUUCCAGUCUAAUAGUGGAACCCUUUCCUUGAGGGAAUUCCAUGAAAGAUAUUGGUCUCCAGAUUUUAAGAUUGGUAGAUCCUUUCGUGGCUGCCACUUCAACUGCAGAUCACAUGAACUUCUGUGGACCCACGGCAGGAGCUGUAUACACCUCAUUGGUGAUCAUGUAAAUGCUAUUUUUAGUUGCUGGCCAUGAAGGAUAUAUUUGAAGUAUUGUUGGUGAAGAUCUGAGUCUUUUUUCCUGAUAAGAUAUUGUAGGCUGUGGGGUUUAAUUCAAUACCAUAAAUACAAAUAUCUUGCUUUGAGCUUUUCAAGUGUUUAUCAAGCUAUGACAAAUUAUAUGUUUGGUAUUGUUAGCUGCUUUGCAUUUUUUUAUUGUUUAAAGGAGUAUGUUAAGUUACAUUAUAGUACAUAUAGUUCUUAAACUUUUUAGUAUGUUGUAUAUUUUGCCUGACAUAUAUUACAGGAAAAUGCAAGAAAUUUGAAGUGUUUUUAUA